CAGUCGAACGGAACUGUUUUGAAAGAUUUCUUCGGAAUGAAUUUGAUUUAGUUUCCUUGCGGACGGGUGAGUAACGCGUGAGUAACCUGCCUUCAAGAGGGGGAUAACAUUCUGAAAAGAAUGCUAAUACCGCAUGACAUAUCGGAAUCGCAUGGUUUUGAUAUCAAAGAUUUUAUCGCUUGAAGAUGGACUCGCGUCCGAUUAGUUAGUUGGUGAGGUAACGGCUCACCAAGACCGCGAUCGGUAGCCGGACUGAGAGGUUGAACGGCCACAUUGGGACUGAGACACGGCCCAGACUCCUACGGGAGGCAGCAGUGGGGGAUAUUGCGCAAUGGGGGCAACCCUGACGCAGCAACGCCGCGUGAAGGAUGAAGGUUUUCGGAUUGUAAACUUCUUUUAUUAAGGACGAAAAAUGACGGUACUUAAUGAAUAAGCUCCGGCUAACUACGUGCCAGCAGCCGCGGUAAUACGUAGGGAGCAAGCGUUGUCCGGAUUUACUGGGCGUAAAGGGUGCGUAGGCGGCUUUGCAAGUCAGAUGUGAAAUCUAUGGGCUCAACCCAUAAACUGCAUUUGAAACUGUAGAGCUUGAGUGAAGUAGAGGCAGGCGGAAUUCCCCGUGUAGCGGUGAAAUGCGUAGAGAUGGGGAGGAACACCAGUGGCGAAGGCGGCCUGCUGGGCUUUAACUGACGCUGAGGCACGAAAGCGUGGGUAGCAAACAGGAUUAGAUACCCUGGUAGUCCACGCUGUAAACGAUGAUUACUAGGUGUGGGGGGUCUGACC
rnacentral:rRNA from 1 species